GAAAGAGUGGUCUAAUGUAAGACACUUGAAAUUUCAAGAGUUGUGAGUUCAAAUCUCAUCUCUUUCA
rfam:Lactococcus phage 949, complete genome.